rnacentral:lncRNA from 1 species
GACACACAUGGAGUUUGGUGGCGACGGUGCCGGUGCCGAAGAACUGCAGACAAAUACUUAGCCAACUGGAUGUGUGUGAGCUGGCUACAAAGGCAGCGCCUGCCUCACCCGGACCUCCUGCUGGCAGGAUGUAAAUAUACCUGCAGACUGGCCAAACAGGACUGCCUUUUCUCCCCCAACCCCUCCCUCCUCCCACCCUCUCCCUCAGCUAACCAGCAUGAGAGGAACUGAGAAAGCAACAGCCUGCAAGUGACAGCUCCAGCCUGAUUCUGUUCGUCUCUGAGCCGAGGUGGGAAGUUGAUUGUGCGGCAGCUUCAUUGUGAAUUCCUUCCAUUGGCAUCGCUAUGUUUGCCUCUAUCUGGUAUGCUAAGAAGCUGGGUCGCAGGUUCGUGCACAAUGCCAGGAAGGCGAAAUCAGAGAAGGCCAGUCCUGCUCCUAUAAUUGUCAACACAGAUACUUUGGACACAAUUCCUUAUGUCAAUGGGACAGAAAUUGAAUAUGAAUUUGAAGAAAUUACACUGGAGAGGGGGAAUUCUGGCCUGGGAUUCAGUAUUGCUGGGGGGACAGAUAAUCCCCACAU